AAGAAGAAAAGAAAAAAAACGGGAGAAAAGACCAUCCAUAGGAAUAAUACACUUCCUAGGAAACAGAGACUCUGACGGGACUCUCAUGGGGAUAAGAAAAGAAAUGCGUGAGCAGGACACGACUAUGAAUUAGGGAAAAAAGAAUUUGACACUGCGUGAGCAGGACACGACUGGACUGGAGACCACACUGGGGAGGAAAGAGU
rnacentral:lncRNA from 1 species